GACGAACGCUGGCGGCGUGCUUAACACAUGCAAGUCGAACGGAAAGGCCCUGCUUUUGUGGGGUGCUCGAGUGGCGAACGGGUGAGUAACACGUGAGUAACCUGCCCUUGACUUUGGGAUAACUUCAGGAAACUGGGGCUAAUACCGGAUAGGAGCUCCUGCUGCAUGGUGGGGGUUGGAAAGUUUCGGCGGUUGGGGAUGGACUCGCGGCUUAUCAGCUUGGUGGGGGGGUAGUGGCUUAACAAGGUUUUGACGGGUCGCCGGCCUGAGGGGGUGACCGGCCACAUUGGGACGGAGCUACGGCCCAGACUCCUACGGGCGGCAGCAGGGGGGAAUGUUGCACAAUGGGCGGAAGCAUGAUGCAGCAACGCCGCGUGCGGGAUGACGGCCGUCGGGUUGUAAACCGCUUUCGCCUGUGACGAAGCGUGAGUGACGGUAAUGGGUAAAGAAGCACCGGCUAACUACGUG
rnacentral:rRNA from 1 species